GAUGAACGCUGGCGGCGUGCCUAAUACAUGCAAGUCGAGCGAACAGACGAGGAGCUUGCUCCUCUGACGUUAGCGGCGGACGGGUGAGUAACACGUGGAUAACCUACCUAUAAGACUGGGAUAACUUCGGGAAACCGGAGCUAAUACCGGAUAAUAUAUUGAACCGCAUGGUUCAAUAGUGAAAGACGGUUUUGCUGUCACUUAUAGAUGGAUCCGCGCCGCAUUAGCUAGUUGGUAAGGUAACGGCUUACCAAGGCGACGAUGCGUAGCCGACCUGAGAGGGUGAUCGGCCACACUGGAACUGAGACACGGUCCAGACUCUACGGGAGGCAGCAGUAGGGAAUCUUCCGCAAUGGGCGAAAGCCUGACGGAGCAACGCCGCGUGAGUGAUGAAGGUCUUCGGAUCGUAAAACUCUGUUAUUAGGGAAGAACAAAUGUGUAAGUAACUAUGCACGUCUUGACGGUACCUAAUCAGAAAGCCACGGCUAACUACGUG
rnacentral:rRNA from 1 species